GACCACCUCACUCCACACCAGAGUAUGAAGGAGGGCUUGCACCAACUUCCAAAAACCCAAAUUGAUGCCUGUCCCGUUAUUGUCGGCCAUUUCAGUGAUGAUGAAUCUGAACGUCAGACUGAACAGAAACUAGAGCUCUGAUGGAUCGGGGUUCCAAGCAGCUGCUGAUAGACCAUGAUGGCUGCACCUCAUGACCACCUACAUCCUGAAGACAAUAAAUAUGCUUAUUGGGC